AAACCAACAGGGAUUGCCUCAGUAACGGCGAGUGAAGCGGCAAAAGCUCAAAUUUGAAAUCUGGCACCUUCGGUGUCCGAGUUGUAAUUUGAAGAAGGUAACUUUGGAGUUGGCUCUUGUCUAUGUUCCUUGGAACAGGACGUCACAGAGGGUGAGAAUCCCGUGCGAUGAGAUGCCCAAUUCUAUGUAAAGUGCUUUCGAAGAGUCGAGUUGUUUGGGAAUGCAGCUCUAAGUGGGUGGUAAAUUCCAUCUAAAGCUAAAUAUUGGCGAGAGACCGAUAGCGAACAAGUACAGUGAUGGAAAGAUGAAAAGAACUUUGAAAAGAGAGUGAAAAAGUACGUGAAAUUGUUGAAAGGGAAGGGCUUGAGAUCAGACUUGGUAUUUUGCAAGCCUUACCUUCGUGGUGGGGUCCCCUGCAGUUUACUGGGCCAGCAUCGGUUUGGAUGGUAGGAUAAUGACUUGGGAAUGUGACUUUGCUUCGGUAAAGUGUUAUAGCCCUUGUUGAUACUGCCUGUCUAGACCGAGGACUGCGUCUUUGACUAGGAUGCUGGCAUAAUGAUCUUAAGUCGCCCG
rnacentral:rRNA from 1 species